rnacentral:rRNA from 1 species
CGCUGGCGGCGUGCCUAAUACAUGCAAGUCGAACGGCUUUUCUAUGGAAGCUUGCUUCCACUGAGAAGAUAGUGGCGAACGGGUGAGUAACACGUGGGUAACCUGCCCAUAAGAGGGGGAUAACAUCCGGAAACGGGUGCUAAUACCGCAUAGUUUCUUGAUCGCAUGAUCGGGAAAGGAAAGACGGCCUUUGUGCUGUCGCUUAUGGAUGGACCCGCGGCGUAUUAGUUAGUUGGUGAGGUAACGGCUCACCAAGACGAUGAUACGUAGCCGACCUGAGAGGGUGAUCGGCCACAUUGGGACUGAGACACGGCCCAAACUCCUACGGGAGGCAGCAGUAGGGAAUCUUCCGCAAUGGACGAAAGUCUGACGGAGCAACGCCGCGUGAGUGAAGAAAGGUUUUCGGAUCGUAAAACUCUGUUGUCAGAGAAGAACAAGUUGGAGAGUAACUGCUCCAGCCUUGACGGUAUCUGACCAGAAAGCCACGGCUAACUACGUGCCAGCCGCUGC